AGUGAACGCUGGCGGCGUGCCUAAUACAUGCAAGUCGAACGGAGUGGCGCACGGGUGAGUAAUGUAUAUCUAAUCUGCCCUACACUAGAGGGCAACAGUUGGAAACGGCUGCUAAUACUCUAUAGUGUAGGAUGAGGCUAUAUUGUAUCAGCUAGUUGGUGAGGUAAUGGCUCACCAAGGCUAUGACGCAUAACUGGUCUGAGAGGAUGAUGAGUAAAACUGGAACGGAGACACGGUCAAGACUCCUACGGGAGGCAGCAGUAGGGAAGAGGGCGCAAGGGGGGAAAGCCUGAAGCAGCAACGCCGCGUGGAGGAUGACAAUUUGCGGAGAGUAAACUCCUUUUGUUAGGGAAGCGGUACCUAACGAAUAAGCACCGGCUAACUCCGUGCCAGCAGCCGCAGUAAUAC
rnacentral:rRNA from 1 species